GACGAACGCUGGCGGCGUGCCUAACACAUGCAAGUCGGACGGAUCAGGUAUGACAGCUUGCUGUAGUGCCUGGUUAGUGGCGGACGGGUGAGUAACGCGUGAGGACCUACCCUGGAGAGGGGGAUAACGGCUGGAAACGGCUGCUAAUACCCCGUAAGCCUGAGGGUGAAAGGGAGCGAUCUGCUCCGGGGCGGCCUUGCGUCCUAUCAGCUAGUUGGUGGGGUAAUGGCCUACCAAGGCGAAGACGGGUAGCCGGCCUGAGAGGGCGACCGGCCACACUGGAACUGAGACACGGUCCAGACUCCUACGGGAGGCAGCAGUGGGGAAUAUUGGGCAAUGGGGGAAACCCUGACCCAGCGACGCCGCGUGGGUGAAGAAAUCCUUCGGGAUGUAAAGCCCUGUUGUAUGGGAAGAGCGGAAGACGGUACCAUACGAGGAAGCCCCGGCAAACUACGUG
rnacentral:rRNA from 1 species